rnacentral:rRNA from 1 species
CCUACGGGUGGCAGCAGUAGGGAAUCUUCCACAAUGGGCGAAAGCCUGAUGGAGCAACGCCGCGUGGGUGAUGAAGGUCCUCGGAUCGUAAAACCCUGUUGUUAGAGAAGAAAGUGCGUGAGAGUAACUGUUCACGUUUCGUCGGUAUCUAACCAGAAAGCCCCGGCUCACUACGUGCCAGCAGCCGCGGUAAUACGGAGGUGGCAAGCGUUAUCCGGAUUUAUUGGGCGUAAAGGGAACGCAGGCGGUCUUUUAAGUCUGAUGUGAAAGCCUUGGGCUUAACCGGAGUAGUGCAUUGGAAACUGGGAGACUUGAGUGCGGAAGAGGAGAGUGGAACUCCAGGUGUAGCGGUGAAAUGCGUAGAUAUAUGGAAGAACACCAGUGGCGAAGGCGGCUCUCUGGACUGUAACUGACGCUGAGGUUCGAAAGCGUGGGUAGCAAACAGGAUUAGAUACCCGGGUAGUC